rnacentral:tRNA from 1 species
GGGGGCAGUGGCUCAAUGGUAGAGCAUCUGCUUCGCAUGCAGAAGGUCCAAGGUUCUAUUCCCCAUACCUCCA